rnacentral:rRNA from 1 species
AAAACAUUGCCUCUUGAAUAAAAAUAAAAGGUUAAUCCUGCCCAGUGACCUGUGGGUUAAACGGCCGCGGUACCCUGACCGUGCUAAGGUAGCGUGAUAAAUUGCCCUUUAAUUGUGGGCCUGUACGAACGGAUAAACGAAAAUAAAACUGUCUUCUACUAUAAAAAUAAAAAUUGCAUUUCAAGUGAAAACGCUUGAAUAAAUACAAAGGACAAAAAGACCCCGUAGAGCUCAGGCCUGCCAAAAUAUAAAACCUUCCUAUAAUAUAGAUAUAUUUUACACUCUAGUAUGCCUUAACUGGGGCGGUUAAGGAAAAAUAAACCUUCCUCUUACAAAAAUAACCCCGGCAAUACCUGCCAAACAACACUGACCCUUUAAUUUAGAUCAAAGAAUAAAGCUACCUCGGGGAUAACAGAUUAAUCUUUCUUAAGAGUACACAUUGACAGAAAGGUUUGACACCUCGAUGUUGGCUUAGGGCACCCAAUAGGUAGCAGCAGCCUUUAAUGGUAGGUUUGUUCAACCUUUAAAGCCCUACGUGAUCU